GCAGUGGUGGUUCAGUGGUAGAAUUCUCACCUUCUAAGCGGGAGACCGGGGUUUGAUUCCCGGGUCAAUGCA
rnacentral:tRNA from 1 species